rnacentral:rRNA from 3 species
ACAGUGGACGCGAGCAUCUGUGGCCAAGUUUUUAAGGGCGCACGGUGGAUGCCUUGGCA